rnacentral:rRNA from 1 species
AUUGAACGCUGGCGGCAGGCCUAACACAUGCAAGUCGAGCGGAUGAAGGGAGCUUGCUCCUGGAUUCAGCGGCGGACGGGUGAGUAAUGCCUAGGAAUCUGCCUGGUAGUGGGGGAUAACGUCCGGAAACGGGCGCUAAUACCGCAUACGUCCUGAGGGAGAAAGUGGGGGAUCUUCGGACCUCACGCUAUCAGAUGAGCCUAGGUCGGAUUAGCUAGUUGGUGGGGUAAAGGCCUACCAAGGCGACGAUCCGUAACUGGUCUGAGAGGAUGAUCAGUCACACUGGAACUGGGACACGGUCCAGACUCCUACGGGAGGCAGCAGUGGGGAAUAUUGGACAUUGGGCGAAAGCCUGAUCCAGCCAUGCCGCGUGUGUGAAGAAGGUCUUCGGAUUGUAAAGCACUUUAAGUUGGGAGGAAGGGCAGUAAGUUAAUACCUUGCUGUUUUGACGUUACCAACAGAAUAAGCACCGGCUAACUUCGUG